rnacentral:lncRNA from 1 species
GGGGGGCAUGGCAUCCAGAAGAGGGUGGAGAGGUGCACGGCUGCCGAGGAGGGGCUGUGUGGGCACUGAAGGAGCAGCAGCUUGCCUGUGCCUGUCCAGGGCCACCCACCCCUCCUUCUCAGCCCCAGUCUAGGGGGCUUGAAAUCUUGUCAUUCCCCACAAAGCUAAUGUCACCCAUUAAAGUAAAUCAACUAGUUGGCGGUAGAGUUUAUCCUGACCCUCUUCCGCUGGCCUGUGGAUCCCUUGACAAGCGACUCUGUUCUGUCCAGGGUCCUUGUUUCCUCCCCAGAUCCGAACACACUGAGCUUCUAAGGUAGGGUGUGAGCUUUUGCUAGAAGGGAAGGUGGCGAUGCUGUAGGGGAGAAUCAAGGUCUCGGCUCAGUGGGAUCUGCCAGGUCUCCCCCACUUUGUCCCUCUCUACCACUCCUCCCUGGGUCAUGCUGAUGUGCUAGGUGGUUACCCAGCCAGGAGCUCUGCAGAGCAGCUUCCAGAUGAGACCUGUUUCUGGAGGUCUGACCAGACCGUGUCAGCUCACUGGCACGUCUACAGUGAACACUUUAGAGGACACUUAGAACCAAUCCUAUCCAAAGACGCCGGUACGGCCAACUGACUCCUCAGGGUAGACGAUAGCAGGUGGGGACCCAACCUGCUCUAGCCACUAGCCCAGUACCACCCUGGCUGAGCCUUUAUCAGGCCUGGUGCUUACAGCUUCUACACACAAAAGGCAGGGCUGGCUAUGUGCAAGCUGCCAUGCUAUGACCCAGGCCACCAUGACCAGGUGACCCUAAAACAAUAAAAGUGAGCAAAUACCUG